rnacentral:rRNA from 1 species
UACGUAGGGGGCAAGCGUUGUCCGGAAUCAUUGGGCGUAAAGAGCGUGUAGGCGGCCCGAUAAGUCCGCUGUGAAAGUCCAGGGCUCAACCCUGGAAUGCCGGUGGAUACUGUCGGGCUCGAAUCCGGAAGAGGUGAGUGGAAUUCCUGGUGUAGCGGUGAAAUGCGCAGAUAUCAGGAAGAACACCCGUGGCUAAGGCGGCUCUCUAGUACGGUACUGACGCUGAGACGCGAAAGCGUGGGGAGCGAACAGG